rnacentral:rRNA from 1 species
GCACUCGCUGGAUGAAGAAUCCCUCCGGGAUGUAAGCUCUGUUGUACGGGAAGAGAAGCAGACGGUACCGUACGAGGAAGCCCCGCCAAACUACGUGCCAGCAGCCGCGGUAAUACGUAAGGGGGCCAAGCGUUGUCCAGGAAUUACUGGGGCGUAAAGCGCACGCAGGCGGCCCAUCAAGUCGGUUGUAAAAGCAGUGGCUCAACUACUGUAAAGACGCCCGAUAACUUGAUGAGCUAGAGAUGUGAGAGGGAACGGAAUUCCCGGUGUACGGUGAAAAUGCGUAGAUAUCGGGGAGGAAACACCCAGUGGCGAAAGGCGGGCUUCCGGGCACAAGACUGACGCUCAUGUGCGAAAGCUAGGGUAGCGAACGGGAUUAGAUACCCCGGUAGUCCUAGCCGUAAACGAUGGAUACUGGGUGUGGGUGCCGCAGGGCAUCUGUGCCGGAGCGAACGCGUUAAGUAUCCCGCCUGGGGACUACGGUCGCAAGACUGAAACUCAAAGGAAUUGACGGGGGCCCGCACAAGCGGUGGAGCACGUGGUUUAAUUCGAUGCAAACCGAAGAACCUUACCUGGGUUUGACAUGACGGUGUUAGGCGCGAGAGAUUGCGCCGACCGCGCAGAGAUGCGCGGAGCCGCCACAGGUGCUGCAUGGCUGUCGUCAGCUCGUGUCGUGAGAUGUUGGGUCAAGUCCCAAAACGAGCGCAACCCUAAUCGAUUCCCGCGAAACCAUGGGCGGA